rnacentral:rRNA from 1 species
UACGGAGGGUGCAAGCGUUGCUCGGAAUUAUUGGGCGUAAAGGGUAGGUAGGUGGUCUCAUUUGUCUGGGGUGAAAUCCUUGAGCUUAACUCAAGAAGUGCCCCAGAAACGGUGAGACUAGAGUCCUGGAGAGGGUCGUGGAAUUCCCGGUGUAGCGGUGAAAUGCGUAGAGACUGGGAAGAACACCAGUGGCGAAGGCGGCUACCUGGACAGGUACUGACGCUGAAGCGCGAAAGCUAGGGGAGCAAACAGG